rnacentral:misc_RNA from 1 species
CUGCAACAGUCAUGAUCCAUCUAUAUACGCAUUCACCCGAAUACUCAAUGAAGUACAACAAGAAAGCUGACAUUGUUAUUCCCAUUACAAGUUUCUUUGUUCCUAAAACCAAAAACACCACCAGAAAGACCUUCAGAAGCGCGACUAACACCGUGUUUUUAUCAACAGCUUCAUCAAGAUCAAAUCUUUCAUCUUUUUCCUGACACCCCUUUAACUCAGACUUCUCAAAUAUGCAACAUACAGGGGAAGGUGGAGUCGAAAGAGAACUUAAAGGGAG